AUUGAACGCUGGCGGCAGGCCUAACACAUGCAAGUCGAACGAGUGGCGGACGGGUGAGUAAGGUCUGGUAAACUGCCCGACGGAGGGGGAUAACUACUGGAAACGGUAGCUAAUACCGCAUACCAUCGGAUGUGCCCAGAUGGGAUUAACUAGUAGGUGGGGUAAAGGCUCACCUAGGCGACGAUCCCUAGCUGGUCUGAGAGGAUGACCGGCCACACUGGAACUGAGACACGGUCCAGACUCCUACGUGAGGCAGCAGCGGGGAAUAUUGCACAAUGGGCGCAAGCCUGAUGCAGCCAUGCCGCGUGUAUGAAAAAGGUCUUCAGAUUGUAAAGCACUUUAAGUUGGGAGGCGUUACCAACAGAAUAAGCACCGGCUAACUUCGUACCAGCCGCCGCGGUAAUAC
rnacentral:rRNA from 1 species